rnacentral:rRNA from 1 species
GACGUAGGAUGCAAGCGUUGUCCGGAUUUAUUGGGCGUAAAGAGCUCGUAGGUGGUUUGUCGCGUUGUUCGUGAAAUGCCACAGCUUAACUGUGGGCGUGCGGGCGAUACGGGCAGACUGGAGUACUGCAGGGGAGACUGGAAUUCCUGGUGUAGCGGUGGAAUGCGCAGAUAUCAGGAGGAACACCGGUGGCGAAGGCGGGUCUCUGGGCAGUAACUGACGCUGAGGAGCGAAAGCGUGGGGAGCGAACAGG